GGCCUAAUGGUCUAGAAGUAUGAUUCUCGCUUUGGGUGCGAGAGGUCCUGGGUUCAAUUCCCAGUUAGGCCC
rnacentral:tRNA from 2 species